rnacentral:rRNA from 1 species
CCUACGGGGGGCAGCAGUGGGGAAUAUUGCACAAUGGGGGAAACCCUGAUGCAGCGACGCCGCGUGAGUGAAGAAGGAAUUCGUUAUGUAAAGCUCUAUCAGCAGGGAAGAAAAUGACGGUACCUGAGUAAGAAGCACCGGCUAACUACGUUCCAGCAGCCGCGGGAAUACGUAGGGGGCAGGCGUUAUCCGGAUGUACUGGGUGUAAAGGGAGCGCAGACGGCUGUGCAAGUCUGGAGUGAAAGGCGGGGGCCCAACCCCCGGACUGCUCUUGAAACUGUAAAGCUGGAGUGCAGGAGAGGUAAGCGGAAUUCCUAGUGUAGCGGUGAAAUGCGUAGAUAUUAGGAGGAACACCAGUGGCGAAGGCGGCUUACUGGACUGCAACUGACGUUGAGGCUCGAAAGCGUGGGGAGCAAACAGGAUUAGAUACCCUUGUAGUC